rnacentral:rRNA from 1 species
CCUACGGGCAGCAGCAGUAGGGAAUUUUGCGCAAUGGGCGAAAGCCUGACGCAGCAACGCCGCGUGAUCGAGACGCCCUUCGGGGUGUAAAGAUCUGUCAGUGGGGACGAAACUUGACGGUACCCACAGAGGAAGCACCGGCAAACUCCGUGACAGCAGCCGCGGUAAUAGGGGGGUUAAAGCGUUGGCCGGAAUCAUUGGGUGUAAAGAGUUAGUUAGCGGCACGUAAAGUCUGGUGUUAAAGGCAGAGGCUCAACUUCUGUACGGCACUGGAUAAUUGCGAGCUAGAAUGCGGUAGAGGUAAAGGGAAUGCCUGGUGUAGCGGUGAAAUGCUUAGAUAUCAGGAGGAACAUCGGUGGCGUAGGCGCUUUACUGGGCCGUAAUUGACGCUGAGGAACGAAAGCCAGGGUAGCAAAUGGGAUUAGAUACCCUUGUAGUC